rnacentral:rRNA from 1 species
UACGUAGGUGGCAAGCGUUGUCCGGAUUUAUUGGGUUUAAAGGGUGCGUAGGCGGCCCUGUAAGUCAGCGGUGAAAUACGGCAGCUCAACUGUCGAGGUGCCGUUGAUACUGCGGGGCUUGAGUGUUGAUGAGGCAGGCGGAAUUGACGGUGUAGCGGUGAAAUGCUUAGAUAUCGUCAAGAACACCGAUAGCGAAGGCAGCCUGCCAGGCAACAACUGACGCUGAGGCACGAAAGUGCGGGGAUCAAACAGG